rnacentral:lncRNA from 1 species
GUCAGUUUUUACAACAUUGUUAUAUUGUUCUAUGCUUCCUUAAAUGCACACAGGCUCUAGUAGAAGUUUGCUAUUACUUGGAAAUUCUUCCCUUUUUUAGAGAACACAGCCACACACGGACUUUGUUUUGUACAAAGUACAGGUUACACAGAACACAGCUGGGCUAUGGGACGUCGCACUGAACCACCAGUAAAUUACAAAAAAUGAAAGAUAAACAAAUCCAAACCAGAGAGAGAGCUCAUCAUUUACUCGGCAAGGAGAGACAACCUAUUGUCACAGCUUCUUCUUAUACUGGAAACCCUGACACAAAAUGCUUACUCAGGCUAGAAAAGUCAGGAGCAGUUUGGGCUGAUAGAGAUGGGUGGAACAAUGCACGGGGAUGCCACGGCAACAAGCCCACCAAAGGCAACAAACACCUCUUCCCAGUGCUCCUGCUCUUGCAAGGUUCUACAAGGGAAGAGUAUUGACCAAAAGCCGCCUUUGCCGCUGCUGCAAGUGGCAGACAGGCUACAAAGCAUGAGGUACAACAGGUGUCUCUGCACAGAGACUUUCAGAAAGCCCUACAGUUGGCCAUGUCUGGCUUUGGGACAGAAGACUCAUCCACCCAACAAAGCGCCGAGAGAGUGAUCCCCCAGCCUGUGCCAGCCCCAG